rnacentral:rRNA from 1 species
AGAUUAAGUUAUUAAGGGCGCACGGUGGAUGCCUUGGCACUAGAAGCCGAUGAAGGACGUUACUAACGACGAUAUGCUUUGGGGAGCUGUAAGUAAGCUUUGAUCCAGAGAUUUCCGAAUGGGGAAACCCAGCAUGAGUUAUGUCAUGUUAUCGAUAUGUGAAUACAUAGCAUAUCAGAAGGCACACCCGGAGAACUGAAACAUCUUAGUACCCGGAGGAAGAGAAAGAAAAUUCGAUUCCCUUAGUAGCGGCGAGCGAAACGGGAAGAGCCCAAACCAACAAGCUUGCUUGUUGGGGUUGUAGGACACUCUGUACGGAGUUACAAAGGACGACAUUAGACGAA